CUACAUUUUUAUGCAUUCACCAUGGUCCAUUCAUGUCUCGAAUGGAUGGAGCAUUUGUUGCUGGAAUAUAUCUUUUUUAUGUCUCAUUAUAACCUGUACAUUACUUCAUGUAACAUUUUCACCAAUAUAUUUUCAUUAUUUUUUAAAAUAACAUUAUGACCAUUUAAAGACUCGUGCUACCUUAUAAGAGCUUAUGCCAGGAUAUGAUGUCCUGCCAUUUUAGAUAAGGUAGCUU